rnacentral:rRNA from 1 species
UAGGGAAUUUUUCACAAUGAGCGAAAGCUUGAUGGAGCAAUGCCGCGUGAACGAUGAAGGUCUUUAAGAUUGUAAAGUUCUUUUAUUUGGGAAGAAUGACUUUAGCAGGUAAUGGCUAGAGUUUGACUGUACCAUUUUGAAUAAGUGACGACUAACUAUGUGCCAGCAGUCGCGGUAAUACAUAGGUCGCAAGCGUUAUCCGGAUUUAUUGGGCGUAAAGCAAGCGCAGGCGGAUUGAAAAGUCCGGUGUUAAAGGCAGCUGCUUAACAGUUGUAUGCAUUGGAAACUAUUAAUCUAGAGUGUGGUAGGGAGUUUUGGAAUUUCAUGUGGAGCGGUGAAAUGCGUAGAUAUAUGAAGGAACACCAGUGGCGAAGGCGAAAACUUAGGCCAUUACUGACGCUUAGGCUUGAAAGUGUGGGGAGCAAAUAGGAUUAGAUACCCUAGUAGUCCACACCGUAACGAUAGAUACUAGCUGUCGGGGCGAUCCCCUCGGUAGUGAAGUUAACACAUUAAGUAUCUCGCCUGGGUAGUACAUUCGCAAGAAUG